rnacentral:rRNA from 1 species
UACGUAGGGUGCAAGCGUUGUCCGGAAUUAUUGGGCGUAAAGAGCUCGUAGGCGGUCUGUUGCGUCGGCUGUGAAAACCCGAGGCUCAACCUCGGGCCUGCAGCCGAUACGGGCAGACUAGAGUUCGGCAGGGGAGACUGGAAUUCCUGGUGUAGCGGUGAAAUGCGCAGAUAUCAGGAGGAACACCGGUGGGCGAAGGCGGGUCUCUGGGCCGAUACUGACGC